GGCUCAGAUUGAACGCUGGCGGCAUGCCUUACACAUGCAAGUCGAACGGCAGCACGGGAGCAAUCCUGGUGGCGAGUGGCGAACGGGUGAGUAAUAUAUCGGAACGUGCCCAGUCGUGGGGGAUAACGCAGCGAAAGCUGUGCUAAUACCGCAUACGAUCUAUGGAUGAAAGCGGGGGACCGUAAGGCCUCGCGCGAUUGGAGCGGCCGAUAUCAGAUUAGCUAGUUGGUGGGGUAAAAGCCCACCAAGGCGACGAUCUGUAGCUGGUCUGAGAGGACGACCAGCCACACUGGAACUGAGACACGGUCCAGACUCCUACGGGAGGCAGCAGUGGGGAAUUUUGGACAAUGGGCGCAAGCCUGAUCCAGCAAUGCCGCGUGCAGGAUGAAGGCCUUCGGGUUGUAAACUGCUUUUGUACGGAACGAAACGGCUCUUUCUAAUAAAGAGGGCUAAUGACGGUACCGUAAGAAUAAGCACCGGCUAACUACGUGCCAGCAGCCGCGGUAAUACGUAGGGUGCGUGCGUUAAUCGGAAUUACUGGGCGUAAAGCGUGCGCAGGCGGUUAUAUAAGACAGAUGUGAAAUCCCCGGGCUCAACCUGGGACCUGCAUUUGUGACUGUAUAGCUAGAGUACGGUAGAGGGGGAUGGAAUUCCGCGUGUAGCAGUGAAAUGCGUAGAUAUGCGGAGGAACACCGAUGGCGAAGGCAAUCCCCUGGACCUGUACUGACGCUCAUGCACGAAAGCGUGGGGAGCAAACAGGAUUAGAUACCCUGGUAGUCCACGCCCUAAACGAUGUCAACUGGUUGUUGGGUCUUCACUGACUCAGUAACGAAGCUAACGCGUGAAGUUGACCGCCUGGGG
rnacentral:rRNA from 1 species